rnacentral:rRNA from 1 species
UACGUAGGGUGCGAGCGUUGUCCGGAAUUAUUGGGCGUAAAGAGCUUGUAGGCGGUUUGUCGCGUCUGCCGUGAAAAUCCGGGGCUCAACCCGGACUUGCGGUGGGUACGGGCAGACUAGAGUGUGGUAGGGGAGACUGGAAUUCCUGGUGUAGCGGUGAAAUGCGCAGAUAUCAGGAGGAACACCGGUGGCGAAGGCGGGUCUCUGGGCCGAUACUGACGCUGAGGAGCGAAAGCGUGGGGAGCGAACAGG